rnacentral:rRNA from 1 species
GACGAACGGCUGGCGGCGUGCUUAAUACAUGCAAGUCGAGCGAGGUUACUGUUUCGGAUCCCUUCGGGGUGAAGAAGCUUUAACCUAGCGGCGGACGGGUGAGUAACGCGUGGGUAACCUACCCCAAAGUCCGGGAUAACAGCGGGAAACCGCUGCUAAUACCGGAUGCCUUUACCUUGGGGCAUCUUGAGGUAAAGAAAGGCAACGCUUUGGGAUGGGCCCGCGUCCCAUUAGCUAGUUGGUGAGGUAACGGCUCACCCAAGGCGACGAUGGGUAGCCGGCCUGAGAGGGUGGACGGCCACACUGGGACUGAGACACGGCCCAGACUCCUACGGGAGGCAGCAGUAGGGAAUAUUGCGCAAUGGACGGAAGUCUGACGCAGCGACGCCGCGUGAGCGAUGAAGGUCUUCGGAUCGUAAAGCUCUGUCCUUGGGGAAGAAGGUCUUCGGACUUGACGGUACCCAAGAAGAAAGCCCCGGCUAACUACGUG